rnacentral:rRNA from 1 species
UACGGAGGGUGCAAGCGUUAAUCGGAAUUACUGGGCGUAAAGCGUGCGCAGGCGGUUUGUUAAGUCCGUUGUGAAAGCCCCGAGCUCAACUUGGGAAUUGCAGUGGAUACUGGCAGGCUGGAGUACGGUAGAGGAAGGUGGAAUUCCCGGUGUAGCAGUGAAAUGCGUAGAUAUCAGGUGGAACACCGGUGGCGAAGGCGGUGGUCUGGGCCGGAACUGACGCUGAGGAGCGAAAGCGUGGGGAGCGAACAGG